CAUCCUCUCUUCCCAACACUUUUGAAAGCCACUCCCACACUCAAUUUUUUGAAAAUUUAGAUCAAUUUGUUUCCUAUUUAACUUAUUCAUUAUGUUUAAAGUCUACUCGUUUCUUUCAACUAUUUUAUUGAUAUAUUUUUUUUGAUAUCAUAUAUUUCUUUUAUGGAAGGGAACGUGACCAGUCCUGAGACAAGAAAAUUUAGUAGUACCGCCAUUUUAUAUUGUGGACAAUGCUGGGAGCUAUCAGGGAUAUAUCUAAAAGUGCUACUAUGUUAGCCUAUGAACUUUUGAGCACAACUGAUCUGAAUAGGUAAAAUUCUAAAUCUUUGCCCGCAUUUUUAAUAAUUGGAACAUCCAGAAAUGUGAUCUGUUGUUGAGACAAGACCCAAAAUUCCAUUCCUAACUCCUGCUCUUGUCGAAAAGAGCAAAUACACCAUCCAUGUAUCAGAUCUAGGCCCUUGGAAGGUAACCUAACUCUCCUCUCUCUUCCAUUUAGCCAUGAGCUUAUGUGAUAUCAGAAUAAUUAUUUAGGAAACGAAAUUUGUUAGGGCUAGACUUUUGAAAAAGUCGAAGACUCAAAAUUCAUAGUUCUUCCAAAUGACCAAAAUACACCAAGGGAUUCGUCCACGUUUUCAAAAAUUUCAAUAUGAAAGUGGCUUUCAUAGAGGCUCAUACACAGCAUACACUUCAUUUAGUGUUGGGCAAACCGAACAAGAUGACGAAAGAGAAAAAGUCUGGUAUUUACCAAAUAAGCUGUGAGAAUUGCUAUAAAAAGAAUGUUUGUCAAAAUAAGCGGACUGUAUUUAAUGAAAUCGGCUGAUACUCGAUGAAAAUCCAUAACGUAUUCAAAAAACACUUUAAUGUUCCACUAAACAGUUUUACAAAAACGCAAAACUUGUUUCGCUAUACAAUAACUUCUUCAGGCGUGUCUUUACUGUAAAUGAGCGGACUGUAAUAGCUAGCUACAAGGAACAUGUUUCACAUAUUCGGUUUCAUAGAUCAAAGAAGUCCAGUGUUGUUCAACAUUCCGAAGAACGGCCACAAAAUAAGUGGCUGGAAAUUGUUGAAGCCGAUAUAUGACUAUCUUUUUAGAUGCUUUCGAAAGUUUAGACAUAAAAAAUGUGUAAUGAGAUCUAUGAACAGCGAUAAAGGUCCAGUUCCAAACAGCCGCUAUUCAAUCCCUUACGCAAUAAUUACAGGUAGCAAACAGGUAAAGAUUUGGUGAUAAAAACAGAAAGAAAUUGACAUCAGGUACACUGACAAUACAACAGGAUAUUCAUUUAAUUUUGCUUGCUCAUCAGGUGAGGGAUGAUUUGUCCAGAUAUGUGAAAAACAUCAGCAUAACCAUGAAAUUUAGUAUCAGUCAUCUCCUGAUGAUAACUUGGUUAUCUAAACGUGCGUCGCGAGACAGUAUUUUUGUUCUGGUACGAGAAAAGUGUUUUCGAUAGACGAAUUUAGCCAGUAAACAGAAGACAACUGAACUCAAACAUUAUUUCAAAUAUAAUCUUUUCGCAAGAAAUUCAAUAAAACUAAUAUUUUACUAGAAAAUAUAUAACAAAAACAAUUCCUUUCUCAAUUGAUAUUUUGAAAAUAUUUUCCAACGAACUGACCCUGUGAGACAUUAUUUUCGUAACGUAAUUUAACAUUGUUUAAAGCAGGUAAAAUUGUUUCAUUUUAAGCGAACCACGAUUUCUUAUUAUUUAACGCAAUUCAGUAGUACUGAUUCAGUCGAAAGAAACCACUUGAAGACAGAGCUAAUAAUUUACGUAAAAUAGGAAAGUAAAACAAUUGGAAAAUGAAAGGAACUGACUUACAUAUCCGGCUCGAAGGACCACAUGUUUGAUUAAUUUAAUUGAUGUGAGCUGUUGUUGACUUGUUUAGAAGUUAAUAGAGCUGGUAGUGAUCAAUAAAUAGCGUCGAUUGAACUGAACUUUAUUGUUUGAUAUGCAAAUAGCGACUCUUCUUGCCGUUACAUUUGUAGACUUAGUUGCCAGUUUUAACAAAAAGUAUGCUAAGUAAAUAGUUUGCAUAAUUUUAAACACCCCGCCUUAUGUUUUGGUUGUUUUUGUACUGUAUACAAAACAUUCUACCAAUAAAAUUGAUUAUUAUUGUUAUUACAUCCAAAACUGUGAAAGCACAGAGGUGGGAGUUGUCAGAUAUUGUUCCACAGUUGUCCACAUCAGGAAUAAACGUUCAUCUACAGGUUUCAUUAAUCUCCCUCGAGCAAAUAAGAUAAAACAUGGAGA
rnacentral:lncRNA from 1 species